CAAGACCGAGCGGAAGGGCUUUCUCUUUCGCUCAGUAGUUGCUCCCGCCGGCUCCAGAGUUGCUUACUUCCGGCUGUUUGGCUGUGGGAUUUGUGUUGCUGUGGUGAGAGGAAGAGAGGCUUCGGAGGCCUGCCAUGGAGCAACCCGGCGCCGAGAGCGAUGCCGACCCCGUGGGGGGAGCCGACCCGCAGCUGGCGGCCACGAUGGGCUUCUCGGGUUUUGGGAAGAAAGCUCGAACAUUUGAUUUCAACGCAAUGUUUGAACAAACUCGAAGAACUGCUGUGGAAAGAAGUAGGAAGAUUCUGGAAGAACGUGAGAAAGCAGCAGCUGAGAAAGAAAAAGAACUUGAUAAUCAGCCUGGCGUUGGUAAUUUAUCAGCUACAGCCCCAUGUCCAGUAGGAAGGACAUCUUCCAGAGACUCAUCUAGCAGCGAAAGCGAGGACAGUUCAGAUGAAGAGCUGAUUGGUCCACCUCCUCCAGCCCAAGGCACAUUGGAAGAUUCAGACGAUGAACUCAUUGGCCCACCACUUCCUCCUGGCUAUAAGGACAGUGAUGAUGAAGAUGAAGGGGAUGACAAUGAUAAUAUCCAGGAAGAAGAUGAGGAUCCUGUGAGGAAGAUUCCUGACUCACAUGAAAUUACACUGCAUCAUGGAACUAAAACAGUAUCUGCAUUAGGACUGGAUCCUUCGGGUGCCCGUUUGAUAACUGGAGGCUAUGACUAUGAUGUAAGAUUUUGGGAUUUUGCUGGAAUGGAUGCAUCUCUUCAAGCUUUUCGAUCUCUGCAGCCAUGUGAAUGUCACCAGAUAAAGUCUCUGCAAUACAGCAGUACAGGGGAUGUCAUUCUUGUUGUUGCGGGUAAUGCACAAGCUAAAGUUCUUGACAGAGAUGGCUUUCCCGUAAUGGAGUGUGUUAAAGGAGACCAGUAUAUUGUAGACAUGGCUAACACCAAGGGACAUACAGCAAUGCUUAAUUCAGGUUGCUGGCAUCCCAAAAUAAAGGAGGAGUUCUUGACAUGCUCCAAUGAUGGGACUGUGAGAACCUGGGAUGUCACCAAUGACAAGAAACACAAAGGUGUGUUUAAACCACGGUCAGCUCAAGGUAAACGGGUGAUACCUACAAGCUGCACAUACAGCAGAGAUGGAAAACUCAUUGCAGCAGGAAGCCAAGAUGGUUCCAUCCAGAUCUGGGACAGGAAUAUGAAUGUUCAUACCAAGUUCCACUGCAGGCAUGCACAUGCUCCAGGCAGUGACACUUCAUGCUUGACAUUUUCCUAUGAUGGUACAAUUCUUGCCAGUCGGGGAGGUGAUGAUACCUUAAAAACAUGGGACAUGAGAAAGUUUAAAACACCUCUUAAUUCUGUGGCUGGUCUACCUAGUUUCUUCCCUAUGACUGACUGCUGUUUCAGCCCAGAUGAUAAAUUGCUUGUAACUGGUACUUCUGUUAAGAAAGGGCAUGGUAAUGGAAAACUACUCUUUUUUGAGCGGGAGACAUUUAAGAAAGUGUACGAGAUAGAUGUCACAGAUGCUAGUGUUGUCCGUUGUCUCUGGCAUCCUAAGUUGAAUCAAAUCAUGGUUGGCACUGGGAAUGGAUUGGCUAAGGUGUACUAUGAUCCUUUCAAGAGUCAAAGGGGAGCAAAAUUAUGUGUUGUAAAGACAAAAAGAAAAGAGAGACAAGCAGAGACACUCACACAGGAUUAUAUUAUCACACCACAUGCACUUCCAAUGUUUCGUGAGCCACGCCAGCGAAGUACAAGAAAGCAGCUGGAAAAAGAUAGAUUGGAUCCCAUGAAAUCUCAUAAGCCUGAACCUCCAGUAGCAGGACCAGGUCGUGGUGGUCGUGUUGGAACUCAUGGCGGUACUCUGUCUUCAUAUAUAGUCAAAAAUAUUGCACUGGAUAAAACUGAUGAUAGCAACCCUCGGGAGGCCAUUUUACGACAUGCAAAAGAAGCAGAGGAGAACCCAUACUGGGUUGCUCCAGCGUAUUCCAAAAGGGCCUCCUGCAGUCUUAAUAACCGGACUGUUUUAAAAGAAGCCAGGUGGCACCGUGCAUAGACUCAAUCACCACACAGUAAAGGCAGUGUCAUACCUAUGAACUGAAUCCCAGUUUAUACAGCUGCCAUCUUGAAUCCUUGAAUAUAAAUCCAAAUGCAAACCUCCACAUCGCUGUUUAGAGGGGCGAAUCCCAGGUGUGGGGAGUUCCACAUGUCACAGGAAAUGGCUAGGAGUCACAUAUUUUCUUUCCAAGGUAGACAUUGAUGCUUGGCACACCUCAUUUACAAGAGCAAGGUACAAGUAUGACCAGCACUGCCAUUUAAUUUACCUACAUUUGAUAAAAUAUGUCAUCUCUAGGCAUAUUAAGGUAUAUUAUAAUAUUAUAUGAUCAUAUUGUACUGCCACAUACAAUGAAGAUGAAUGUGAUUCUUAUCAUUUUGAGAAUGCAUUCCUGUGCAUAUGAGUACACAUCUACUAAUACACAUAUAGUGGUUUUCAGUGCAUGGCAUGUGAAUUGUCUUUAAGAGGGUCAAACAAAAGGGGUGGAAGCAAUCUUCUUGGUAAACAAACAUAUAAGGAGAUCCAAGUUGUUGGAAUUUGAGACAUAAUAAACCCUAACCCUAACCCAUCUCUUUCGCCAGGUCUACCCAGUCAUUUUAACAAUGACUUUUAAAUCAUAUUCUAUGUUUAUUGUGUUUUAAAUUUUGACUCAGGCAUUUUAAUAUAUGUAUUUUCAAGAAGGCCUACAACAUGGGGCCCUUCCACACAGCUAUAUAACCCAGAAUAUCAAGCAGAAAAUCCCUUGAACUGCUUUGAACUGAGUUAUCGGAGUCCACACUACCAUAUAUUCAGGUUCAAAGCAGAAAAUGUGGGAUUUUAUUCAGCUAUGUGGAAAGGGCUUAAGACAUGUGCCAUAGGAAUAGGUUGAAUUUUAAGGUUUACGACUGUUUAUUGAGGGGCUAAUAUGUGGGAGGUGGAAGCUGGUUUUUAUUGUAUAUGUGUUUUUAGUAUGUUUUAACUUUUGUAUUUUAUGUUUUAUUGUUGAUAUUGUGUUUUUUAUAUGCUGUAAACCACUUUGGGUCUGGCUGGAGAGAAAGGCGAAGUAUAAGUAUCUUAAACAAAUAAAUACAUGUUUUAAUAUAGGCUUUCGUAUUUUAAUAUGUGAUUUUACAGAUGUGUUUUACUAUGUGGUGCCCUGCCUUCAGCUGAAAGGAGAGACAGAUAAUUAAUAAUAAUAAUGGUUUUGCGUGGCAGUUUCUGCAAGUAGGGUUCCUGUAUUCCUAGCACACUCUACAAAUAGAUCCUGCCCUUGCAGCUUUUAGGAAUAUCAUAUGUGGCCCUAUCCUAAUUUACGGCUCCCAAGAAAGAACUUUUUUCUAAUUCCUCCCAAAAUAUACAAAUGCAGCCAAUAUAUGAACAAAAGUGUCACCCCCCACUGCCACUGCCAUUUUUCCCCUCAUGAAGACAUUGCCCAAGCAGGGACACAAUGGGAACAGAUUUCCAGACAUCUAGGCUACAACUCCUAAAGUGAAGUGGUAGGGAAUACCCAGAAACCUGAAAGACAAGACUGUUAAUUGAGGGGCCGAGUUGUGCCUUCCCCUCUGUCACAAAAUAGUUAGAGGCAGAGACCAGGGAAGCAUGCGGAUUUCAAUAUCUGCACUGCCAAAAGCCAAUGUCCCAUCAGGAAAGUGCUGCUCUCUGUCUACUUAGAAAGCAGAUAUUUUGAUCAGUAAAUAAUAAUAAUAAUAAUCCCAGGGAUGCAAGAAUGGCUGUUCGUAUUUAUUCAUUGGUGAUCCCGCACAUGCUCUGAGUGACAUCACAGUCUCCUCCUUCACAGCUGUGACAACAUAGCCCAGCACGAGGACCCAUCUUAACUGAAACCCCAAGCACUGCACAAGCAAAGGAUGGAUUCAUCUCAUUGCAAACUCCAAACAUUCUGCUUCCUGAAAUGAAACUUAAUGUCAUUCACUUUGUCAUCCUACUUUUUAAAGCUGUUUUUAAAAUGUCCUAGCUUCUCUCAUCACAGCUUACUUUCCCCCUUUGUCUGAAGUAUAUUUCAAUUGCUAAACUUGCUUUAUUUUGUACUCAACAAAUAAUAAUUAUAAUAAUGAUCAUCAUCAUCAUCUUUUAUCUGCCUCUCCCUCAUGGCAUGAGUUGGGGUACAACAUAGUUAAAAUGCAUCCAUAAAACAUAUUAACUCAAUGGGUUGCUGUGAGUUUUCCAGGCUGUAUGACCUUGUUCCAGAAACAUUCUCUCCUGACGUUUUGCCCACAUCUAUGGCAGGCAUCCUCAGAGGUUGUGAGAUUUGUUGGAAACUAGACAAGUGGAGUUUAUAUAUCUGUAGAAGGUCCAGGGUGGGAGAAAGAACUCUUGUCUGAAGCAAGUGUGAAUGUUCCAAUUGACCACUUUGAUUAGCACUGAAUGGCCUUGCAGCUUCAAUGCCUGGCUGCUUCCUGCCUGGGGUAAUCAUUUGUUGGGAUCUGUUAGCUGGCCCUGAUUGUUUCCUGUCUGGAAUUCCCCUGUUUUUGAGUGUUGUUCUUUAUUUACUGUCCUGAUUUUAGAGUUUUUUUAUAUACUGGUAGCCAGAUUUUUUUUUCAUUUUCAUGGUUUCCUCCUUUCUGUAGAAAUUGUUGACCUGCUUCUUGUGAAUUUCAGUGGCUUCUCUGUGGUGGUGAUGGUUAGAGUGGUCCAGCAUUUCUGUAUUCUCAAAUAAUAUGCUGUGUCCAGGUUGGUUCAUCAACUCGGUAAGGUAUGGAAUCUGGCUUUUCCCAGCAAACUCUGGCCCCAUCUACAUUGCCAUAUAAUCCAGUUUCUGAAUUCAGAUUAUUUGCUUUGAACUGGAUUAUAUGGCAGUAUGGAUUCAUAUAAUCCAGCUCAAAGCAGAUACUCUGUAUUCAGAAACUGGAUUAUAUGAGUGUAGAUCCAACCUCAGGUAAAAGCAAACUGCUGCAGCCAAUCAAAGAAUGCAUCUAUGUACACUGUCCAAUUACUGCAGUUUGAUACCACUUUAACCAGCAUGGCUCAUGGGACUUGUUUCCUAAGGUGUUUAGCCUUCUUUGCCAAGGAGUACUAGCGCCUCAUCAACCUACAACUCCCAGGAUUCCAUAGUGAUGAGCCAUGAGGGUUAAAGUGCUGUCAAACUGCGUUAAUAUUACAAUGUAGAGCCACUCCUCAUUUGUGUAUUCUUCCUCAUUAGUAACCUAUGCCACCGCAGGCCUUUGGAGAUACAGUCAUUAAUUAACCAGCCCCAGAGGGUUUUUAAUAAUCUAUCCUGUAUUUAUUACAAUUUUACUAUUUAUGUGUUUUAAAUGCAAUUUUUAUCCUGCAUUUUAAUUGAUAUAUUGUAUUACUGUUUUAUCUUUUUAUAGUGUGAUUUGUAUUAUGUUGCCUAUAUUUUGUAGUAUGUUGUUUGGGCCUCUGCCCCAUGUAAGCCGCCCCGAGUCCCCACGGGGAGAUGGUGGCGGGGUAUAAAUAAAGUUUUAUUAUUAUUAUUA